UACGGAGGUGGCAAGCGUUAGUCGGAAUUACUGGGCGUAAAGGGUGCGUAGGCGGGUAUACAAGUCACAUGUGAAAUUCCGAGGCUCAACCUCGGAGCUGCAUGUGAAACUGUAUAUCUAGUGGAAUGGCGGAGAAAAUGGAAUUCCAUGUGUAGCGGUGAAAUGCGUAGAUAUAUGGAAGAACACCUGUGGCGAAAGCGGUUUUCUAGCCUACUCCAGACGCUGAGGCACGAAAGCAAGGGGAUCAAAACAGGAUUAGGAAAACCCC
rnacentral:rRNA from 1 species